CAAAUAUUACACAGAAACAGUUGCAACCAAGUCGUUCCAGCCUAUUCGAGUGAUAUUACACAAUUUCGAUGUCAUUUUGCAUUCAACACCAAUGCAAUGAUACAUCUAGCAACACUGCCCAUGCUUUGUUUUGGUCGGUGGUUAAGAUGGCCGACGUCGCAAAAGUUCGCAAUCGCGAUGUAUUGCGCAGAUUUAUCGUAGCCAAAAUCUCGGAAAUCCUAUUUAAAGUAUAGAAAAAAGUGUUUUUAUGUACAAAGAAAUCAUUAUUAGUUUAUAACGGAUGCAAUUUGUGAUGUAGUGAAACGAGAAUGUGUAUAAUUCAAUGAGCCAUCAAAGCGGAGCCAACCCCCCAGCAAAAUUACAAUUUCCUCCUGGCCAGUGGCACACAGCGGAGUUCAACCAAGCAGGCAAACAUCAGCGACCAGUAAUAGCCGAAUCCUAUUCACACUCCUCGGAAUUCGUAGGAGGAUCAUUGACUGAGUGCUACAAUCAUAAAAGCGGUUCCGGCGACCUUCCCGUUGAUGUUGCGAGGAGAAUCAAGUACCUAAACAAAUAGCUGCUGAGCCUGUUCCAGUCCAUCGGAUUUUCCCAUUGAAUCACAGCUUCCGUUAGGAAUGGAGUGCUGUUCCUUCGUAGCCGUAAGCAUACAUGGACCCAAUGUACCAGAUCAUCCGCAAGGCACACUGCAACGGAGUGGUGCUUCAAAAGUGUGAACGCUCGAUUCAGUAUUGGAACGGCGACUACGGAUAAACGGAUCGGCGCGAAUGAUGUGAACCAGCUCUGUGGAUCAUUGAUGAGAGGUUUAUCGCCUACGUUAGGCGUCCUAGCCAAUAUGCUUCAUCGUUGUUAUCAUUGUAAAAUUGUUUAGGACAAUAAAAAUAUAAUAAAUAAUUUAAA